UACGAAGGGGGCUAGCGUUGCUCGGAAUCACUGGGCGUAAAGCGCACGUAGGCGGAUUGCUAAGUCAGGGGUGAAAUCCUGGAGCUCAACUCCAGAACUGCCCUUGAUACUGGCGGUCUCGAGUCCGGGAGAGGUGAGUGGAACUGCGAGUGUAGAGGUGAAAUUCGUAGAUAUUCGCAAGAACACCAGUGGCGAAGGCGGCUCACUGGCCCGGAACUGACGCUGAGGUGCGAAAGCGUGGGGAGCAAACAGGG
rnacentral:rRNA from 1 species